GAUGAACGCUGGCGGCGUGCCUAACACAUGCAAGUCGAACGAAACUUCUUUAUCACCGUGUGCUUGCACUCACCGAUAAAGAGUUGAGUGACGAACGGAUGAGAAACUCGUUUGUCGCCUGCCCUAACGAGGGGGAUCAUACUCUGAUACAGGUGCUAAUACCGCAUAACCAUCGUUACAGCAUCGUAACUAUGUCAAAGGUAGCUGUACUUCUGCUUUUGGAUGGUCGCGCGGCGCAUUAGCUAGUUGGUAGGGUAACGGCCUACCAAGGCAAUGAAUGGUAGCCGAAUUGAGAGGGUGAUCGGCCACAUUGGAACUGAGACACGGACCAAACUCCUACGGGAGGCAGCAGUAGGGAAUCUUGGACAAUGGGCGAAAGCCUGAUACAGCAACGCCGCGUGGGUGAAGAAGGCCUUCGGGUCGUAAAGCCCUGUUGUUGGAGAAGAAAGGGCGUGGGAUUAACCGAUGACGUUUUGACGGUAUCUAAACAAAAAGCCACGGCUAACUACGUG
rnacentral:rRNA from 1 species